rnacentral:rRNA from 1 species
GGUGUGUACUGUCUGACUGGGUCUUACCUCUUGGUGAGCCGGCGUGCGCUUUAUUGUGUGCGUCGGGGAACCAGGACUUUUACCUUGAGAAAAUUAGAGUGUUCAAAGCAGGCUUAUGCUCGAAUACAUUAGCAUGGAAUAAUAGAAUAGGACGUGCGGUUCUAUUUUGUUGGUUUCUAGGACCGCCGUAAUGAUUAAUAGGGACAGUCGGGGGCAUCAGUAUUCAGUUGUCAGAGGUGAAAUUCUUAGAUCUACUGAAGACUAACUACUGCGAAAGCAUUUGCCAAGGAUGUUUUCAUUAAUCAGGAACGAAAGUUAGGGGAUCGAAGACGAUCAGAUACCGUCGUAGUCUUAACCAUAAACUAUGCCGACUAGGGAUCGGACGAUGUUAUUUUUUGACUCGUCCGGCACCUUACGAGAAAUCAAAGUGCUUGGGCUCCAGGGGGAGUAUGGUCGCAAGGCUGAAACUUAAAGAAAUUGACGGAAGGGCACCACCAGGGGUGGAGCCUGCGGCUUAAUUUGACUCAACACGGGGAAACUCACCAGGUCCAGACACAAUAAGGAUUGACAGAUUGAGAGCUCUUUCUUGAUUUUGUGGGUGGUGGUGCAUGGCCGUUCUUAGUUGGUGGAGUGAUUUGUCUGCUUAAUUGCGAUAACGAACGAGACCUUAACCUGCUAACUAGCCCGUAUUGCUCAGGCAGUACGCCGGCUUCUUAGAGGGACUAUCGG